UACGUAGGUGGCAAGCGUUGUCCGGAUUUAUUGGGUUUAAAGGGUGCGUAGGCGGCUUUGUAAGUCAGUGGUGAAAUACGGUAGCUUAACUAUCGAGGUGCCAUUGAUACUGCAGAGCUUGAGUACAGAUGAGGUAGGCGGAAUUGACGGUGUAGCGGUGAAAAUGCUUAGAUAUCGUCAAGAACACCUAUAGCGAAGGCAGCUUACUAGGCUGUAACUGACGCUGAGGCACGAAAGUGUGGGAGAUAAACAGG
rnacentral:rRNA from 1 species